AAAAGAAGCAAACUUAGUUUUUACGAGGUGAGUUAAAUUAACCGCAUCUUCUACGCGUUACCGACUCGAUAUCUAGCUGAAGUUACGACUGGAUUUUCUAGAUUUCAGGAAGCAGAAACUACUAUGAAAUUUAUUACCUUCGCCAGUGUGUUGUUGUUGGCAACAGUGAUUGAGAACGAAGCUAGAUUCAAGAACAUCCCUUGCUACUCUUGUGACUAUAUUAUGCGUUUCUGUAGCUUCCGGUGUCGUCAUCAGCCGAGUUCGGCCCAGAACUACUACUGCAAUGACUUCUGUGAACGGAGGAACGAGCGCUGUUACCUUGAGUGUAGGGAAGAUCGCGAGGGUUACGACUGACCCACCGCCCACAGAAACCAGGCACCCGGACAAUGAGCGCUGAUACACCACUGACAGAAAUAACAACCAACACCUCAGCUCUUAUGUAAAACUUAAUUCUAUAGGAUCAAUAAAUAUUACACAGCUUU